rnacentral:rRNA from 1 species
UACGUGAAACCGUUCAGGAGUAAACCUGAGAGAGUCGAUUAUUCGAAAGGGGGGUGUCAGCCGUCGUGCGUUGCUCGUGCAGUGACCAAAUCAGGGUAGGUGUUUCCAGAUAGUGUUUCGGCACUUGGCUAGGGGCUCCUGUUUGGUUGCAGCGCGUAGUGUUGCGUGCGCCGGUGCAUUUCCGCCCCGAGUAGAACGUCGCUCCCGUCGGCGUUAUGUCGGCCUGUGGCCCGGGUAAAGUCCGGUCGCUUGCUUCUUUAUCGGAGCUCGCGCACCGAUAACCCGGUGACCUGGCCGUGCCGUCCGACGGGCAGAUAGAAAGUACGGUGACUGCUAACGACUUUUGGCUUCGGCUAAAUUUACGUGGUAGUUGCCGCGCGGCGCUGUCGUUUUGGCGAUCUCAGGACCCGUCUUGAAACACGGACCAAGGAGUCUAGCAUGCGGGCGAGUCACUGGGCAUUUUGAAACCCAAAGGCAUAGCGAAAUCAAAGAUAAGCCGUUUUCUUCGGAAAACGGCAAGUUGGGGGACGAUGGGCGGUCGUUACUGGCCGCCUCGCAGUCCCGGGGUGCCCCAUUCUCAUUGCGAGAUGGGGCGCCCUCGGAGCCCGCACGCUAUGACCCGAAAGAUGGUGAACUAUGCCUGGGCAGGACGAAGCCAGGGGAAACCCUGGUGGAGGUCCGUAGCGAUUCUGACGUGCAAAUCGAUCGUCAUAUCUGGGUAUAGGGGCGAAAGACCAAUCGAACC